CGCUAUUUUGAUACCUAAUCAGGUGAGUAAGGCGCUAUAAGAGUGUCGGUCUCUGUUGCCCGCGGUCAUCUUGUUGCUUCGCUUGCUGUGACUCGGGAUAUACAAGAAGAAAACAACACAAUGAAGGCUGCAGCAAUCUUCUUACUUGUACUUGUGACUCAAAUGUUCUGUGGAACUGUAAUUAACGCAAUUGAAGAUAAGGGUACUUGCACCGGGGACUUGAUAUGGAGUGGCUGUAAUUCCGCGUGUCCAAGCAUCUGCGGGGAACCACAAGCCAUGUUCUGCACCAUGCAGUGUAUCAUAGGAUGCGGCUGUCCUUAUGGCAAAAUCCGGGUCUCUCGGAAGAGCGACAAAUGCGUUGACAGCAGAAAGGAUUGCCCUUAAAGUCUAAAGGAUAUUCUUUUUCAAAAUGGUUCCAUUUUCUGAAAGCACAUUUGAUAAUGUAUAUGUCGCCAUAUAAAAUGCAAAUAAAAUCCAUGUCGAAUUUA